rnacentral:lncRNA from 1 species
GGAGCCGUGGGGAGAGGGUCAUGGAGGAGUGUGAGCUGGGGUGUAGAUGAAGGACUGUCUGGGGGGAGGAGCCAUGGGGAGAGGGUCAUGGAGGAGUGUGAGCUGGAGUGUAGAUGAAGAGCUGUUCUUGGGGGGAGGAGGCGUGGGGAGAGGCACAAGGCCUGGAGUGGGCACAGGCAGCUGGAAGGCUCUGUUUGACUGGGGCUGAGCGAAGGGGAUGGGGGUGGCAGAAAGGGACAGUGGAGAGGCAGGUAGUCACUCAAGCACCCGUUCCAAUUUGCUUCCAAUGCGGAACAAUCAUAGAAUGGUCAGCGUUGAGUUAUUCAGCAACUUCUCGUGUAGUUGUGGGAGCAGCUUCGAUGAUUGCUCUCAAUUGGUUGUUGUCAUCUUCCGAUGGCCGCCACUACACUCCUCAUCUUCAAGGUUCUCAUCGCCUUUGCAAAAUUUCUUGAGCCCCCACUGCACUGUAUGUUUUGCUGGGCCAAAUGCAUUGUGGGUGUUGCGGAUUGUCUCUGCUCCUUUAUGAUCCAUUUUGAACUCGAAUAAGAAAACUGCUCAAAUUUGCUUUUUGUCUAACAUCAUUUCCAUAGUCUAAGGAAACAUUCUUAAGCUUCUCAGCCUCUCAGCCACAGCUUCCAGUUCAGCAAACGCCUUGAGGAAAGGCAGCAUCUGGGUACUCGUGGAUUUGCCCUGUCUCUGGGACCUUAGCUCCUCAGGUUCCCCAUGACUUCGUAGCCUUGAAUGCUGAUUUUGCCCCCCAGUCCCGUUAGACUGCUGAAAACUCUGCUGAGCUUCUGAGUCUCUUUGCCAUUUCAUUUCGAUUGACAUCUUGGCCGUCCAGCCCUUGGACGUGCAGCGGUAGUAAUUCAAUAUGCUCCUGAUGCAAGGAGAGUCAAGCAGGUCAGUAGAGUAGAAUCAAGUCCU